AUCCAGUUGAUGAGUCCCGAACAGGCCGAAAUGCGAAUCCUGGAU
rnacentral:hammerhead_ribozyme from 1 species